CAACCUCAACUCAUAUGGGACUACCCCCUGAAUUUAAGCAUAUUAAUUAGGGGAGGAAAAGAAACUAACGAGGAUUUUCUUAGUAGCGGAGAGCGAAAAGAAAACGGUUCAGCACUAAGUCACUUUGUCUAUAUGGCAAAUGUGAGAUGCAGUGUAUGGAGCGUCAAUAUUCUAGUAUGAGAAAUUAACGAUUUAAGUCCUUCUUAAAUGAGGCCAUUUACCCAUAGAGGGUGCCAGGCCCAUAUAACGUUAAUGAUUACUAGAUGAUGUUUCCAAAGAGCCGUGUUGCUUGAUAGUGCAGCACUUAGUGGGUGGUAAACUCCAUCUAAAACUAAAUAUAACCAUGAGACCGAUAGUAAACAAGUACCGUGAGGGAAAGUUGAAAAGAACUCUGAAUAGAGAGUUAAACAGUACGUGAAACUGCUUAGAGGUUAAGCCCGAUGAACCUGAAUAUCCGUUAUGGAAAAUUCAUCAUUAAAAUUGUAAUAUUUAAAUAAUAUUAUGAGAAUAGUGUGCAUUUUUUCCAUAUAAGGACAUUGUAAUCUAUUAGCAUAUACCAAAUAUAUCAUAAAAUAUAACUUAUAGUUUAUUCCAAUUAAAUUGCUUGCAUUUUAACACAGAAUAAAUGUUAUUAAUUUGAUGAAGUGCUGAUAGAUUUAUAUGAUUACAGUGCGUUAUUUUUUCGGAAUUACAUAAUGGCAUAAUUAUCAUUGAUUUUUGUGUUUGUAUGAUUAACAAUGCGAAAGAUUCAGGAUACCUUCGGGACCCGUCUUGAAACACGUACCAAGGAGUCUAACAUAUGUGCAAGUUAUUGGGAUAUGAACCUAAUAGCGUAAUUAACUUGACUAAUAAUGGGAUUAGUUUUUUACCGAUUUAUAGCUAAUUAACACAAUCCCGGGGCGUUCUAUAUAGUUAUGUAAAAUGUAUAUUUAUAUUAUUUACGCCUCUAACUGGAACGUACCUUGAGCAUAUAUGCUGUGACCCGAAAGAUGGUGAACUAUACUUGAUCAGGUUGAAGUCAGGCGAAACCCUGAUGGAAGACCGAAACAGUUCUGACGUGCAAAUCGAUUGUCAGAAUUGAGUAUAGGGGCGAAAGACCAAUCGAACCAUCUAGGAGCUGGUUCCUUCCGAAGUUUCCCUCAGGAUAGCUGGUGCAUUUUAAUAUUAUAUAAAAUAAUCUUAUCUGGUAAAGCGAAUGAUUAGAGGCCUUAGGGUCGAAACGAUCUUAACCUAUUCUCAAACUUUAAAUGGGUAAGAACCUUAACUUUCUUGAUAUGAAGUUCAAGGUUAUGAUAUAAUGUGCCCAGUGGGCCACUUUUGGUAAGCAGAACUGGCGCUGUGGGAUGAACCAAACGUAAUGUUACGGUGCCCAAAUUAACAACUCAUGCAGAUACCAUGAAAGGCGUUGGUUGCUUAAAACAGCAGGACGGUGAUCAUGGAAGUCGAAAUCCGCUAAGGAGUGUGUAACAACUCACCUGCCGAAGCAACUAGCCCUUAAAAUGGAUGGCGCUUAAGUUGUAUACCUAUACAUUACCGAUAAAGUAGAUGAUUUAUAUUACUUGUGAUAUAAAAUUUGAAACUUUAUUGAGUAGGAAGGUACAAUGGUAUGCGUAGAAGUGUUUGGCGUAAGCCUGCAUGGAACUGCCAUUGGUACAGAUCUUGGUGGUAGUAGCAAAUAAUCGAAUGAGACCUUGGAGGACUGAAGUGGAGAAGGGUUUCGUGUGAACAGUGGUUGAUCACGAGUUAGUCGGUCCUAAGUUCAAGGCGAAAGCCGAAAAUUUUCAAGUAAAACAAAAAUGCCUAACUAUAUAAACAAAGCGAAUUAUAAUACACUUGAAUAAUUUUGAACGAAAGGGAAUACGGUUCCAAUUCCGUAACCUGUUGAGUAUCCGUUUGUUAUUAAAUAUGGGCCUCGUGUUCAUCCUGGCAACAGGAACGACCAUAAAGAAGCCGUCGAGAGAUAUCGGAAGAGUUUUCUUUUCUGUUUUAUAGCCGUACUAUCAUGGAAGUCUUUCGCAGAGAGAUAUGGUAGAUGGGCUAGAAGAGCAUGACAUAUACUGUUGUGUCGAUAUUUUUAUCCUCGGACCUUGAAAAUUUAUGGUGGGGACACGCAAACUUCUCAACAGGCCGUACCAAUAUCCGCAGCUGGUCUCCAAGGUGAAGAGUCUCUAGUCGAUAGAAUAAUGUAGGUAAGGGAAGUCGGCAAAUUAGAUCCGUAACUUCGGGAUAAGGAUUGGCUCUGAAGAUUGAGAUAGUCGGGCUUGAUUGGGAAACAAUAACAUGGUUUAUGUGCUCUUUCUGGGUAAAUAGAGUUUCUAGCAUUUAUGUUAGUUACUUGUUCCCCGGAUAGUUUAGUUACGUAGCCAAUUGUGGAACUUUCUUUCUAAAAUUUUUAAGAAUACUAUUUGGGUUAAACCAAUUAGUUCUUAUUAAUUAUAACGAUUAUCAAUUAACAAUCAAUUCAGAACUGGCACGGACUUGGGGAAUCCGACUGUCUAAUUAAAACAAAGCAUUGUGAUGGCCCUAGCGGGUGUUGACACAAUGUGAUUUCUGCCCAGUGCUCUGAAUGUCAAAGUGAAGAAAUUCAAGUAAGCGCGGGUCAACGGCGGGAGUAACUAUGACUCUCUUAAGGUAGCCAAAUGCCUCGUCAUCUAAUUAGUGACGCGCAUGAAUGGAUUAACGACGGACGUGUUUUCGUUGCGCUCGUGGACAUAGUGCGAAGAACUUUGUUUUCCGU
rfam:Drosophila melanogaster chromosome X.